rnacentral:rRNA from 1 species
CUACGGGGUGCAGCAGUCGAGAAUCUUCGGCAAUGGACGCAAGUCUGACCGAGCGACGCCGCGUGCGGGAUGAAGGCCUUCGGGUUGUAAACCGCUGUCAGAGGGGAUGAAAUUUUGACAUAUCCUCAGAGGAAGGACGGGCUAAGUUCGUGCCAGCAGCCGCGGUAAGACGAACCGUCCAAACGUUAUUCGGAAUCACUGGGCUUAAAGGGUGCGUAGGCGGCUUAGUAAGUUGGGUGUGAAAUCCCUCGGCUCAACCGAGGAACUGCGCCCAAAACUACUAAGCUUGAGGGAGUCAGAGGUGAGCGGAACUCAGGGUGGAGCGGUGAAAUGCGUUGAUAUCCUGGGGAACACCGGUUGCGAAAGCUGCUCACUGGGGCUCUACUGACGCUGAGGCACGAAAGCUAGGGGAGCAAACGGGAUUAGAUACCCCUGUAGUC